ensembl:lncRNA
CGCUGUUUAAAAAUAGAAUAAAAUAAAAGAGUUUUAUUUCAGCUCAUGUUUUCAGAAGUUUUAGUCCGGUCCACAGUCGCUAGUCCCUGUUGCUUUGGGCCAGCAGCUGCACAGUACCUGGUAAGGGAAGCGCCAGGCAGAGGUCAGAGGGAGGGGGUCUAGGUUCUUGUACCUCCUCCAAGGCCACACUCCCGGUGACCUCACUUACACCCAUGAGGCCCUGCCUCCUAAAGUGCCCUCCACCCCUCAGUCACACUCAGGCUGCUGACAAGCCCGUUAGCACAUGGGCUUUGGGGGGACAUUAAGUUCCAAACCAUAACAGAGGUCGGGUGUGUGAAGUGAUGGAGGCAGCCCAGCACAGCGUGCAUAACCUGGACAGCAGCAGGCCAGAGCUGAGCCCCACCGUGUGGCGAAGCACAGGGGCUAAAGCACAAAACAGUCCGGGAGGGCAGGACUGGAGAGCUCAGUCAACUAGCAGACAAAGGCACGCAGGCUGCACAGCGGCUCACACCGGAGACAAGGUUCUGUGGUAAGACAAUUGCUAAACAAGCCUUCCUGAAUUAUGGCCCCCGGAAGCCAAAAGGCCAUAGAUACCAUACACGGACACCAAAAAUAAGAGCGGGGAAGGGUGAAAGGGGAGGGGGAGACAGACCGAGAACCCCGGAUCGAGGCCCGGACCUGGGGAGGGACUCCUGCGGGUUAGGAGUGAAAGCACGCAGCGUCUCGAAGAGCAGAGCAGAGGAGAGAUCGCAGCCUCGCUGUCGCUGCCUCCGGUGUCCAGUGCUUCGCAGGGCCUGGACAAGUAAAUCCACUUCGCGCUCUGCCUCCGCCUCCACUGCGAUGCCCGGCCUCACCCCCAGCCCCAGUAGGCGGGGCCCAGUGACCAAGACUGGAGCCGGCCCGGACGGGGGUGUCCUCCGUGACUCGGUCAGGGGCUAGCGGCCAGCCGCCGGAGCGAUGAGACUAAGUCAAGGGACACGGCCGCCAGCCUGCUGUAUGGAUCAAAGCUUAAAAGAUGCAGCUGCUGCUGGGUAGCAGGGCUGUUGUCCAGCUGCUUGGAAGACUGAGGCACGAGUGCUUGAGCCCAAGAGUUUGAGGCCAGACUUAAAUAAAACAAUUACAAGAUGCAGGGUCUGUGUGAAAAGUCUCCCGCCUACUUCAUCUCUCCUCCAAGUGCUUUGCACCUCUGGAGGCAACAAAUGCUUUCAAUUGCUUCCAAACUUUCUUUUUCUUUCUUCCUCUUUCUCUCUCUUCCUUCCUUCCUUCAUUUUUUUCUUCAUUUUGAGGCAGGGUCUCCCUUUGUAAUUCAGGCUGCCCCUUAAAUCAUUAUGUAGCCCAGGCUGGCUUUGAACUCUGCAAUCCUCCUGCCUCAGCCUCCUGAGUGCUGGAUCAUAGGUGUUCACCACCACACCGGGCUCUCUUCCAAACUUUAUUUAAACAUGAGAUCAUUGAAGUAACCUUUGGCAACCUGCUUGGUUUUUUGUUGUUGUUUUUCAAUUAAUGUUAUAUUUUUUGAGACCUCUAUUUUGAAAUCUGUACCUUGAGAUGGCCCAUUUUGGUUCCGCAAAGUGCUGUCCAAUAGGACUUCCUGUGCCAGGUGUGGUGGCACACACUUGUGACACCAGCCCUUGGGAGGCCACCCUGGACUUCACAGUGGGACCCUAUCUCAAACCGAAAAUUCUAAAUCCAAUUGUUCCUGGCAUAUGAGGCCUACUAUGACAUGCUUUUGUUUUUAAUUUAUAAUUUAUUGUGCUUUGAGGUAGGAUCUCGCUAUGUACUGCAGGCUGCCUUAAACUCAAUGUAAUCCUCCUGCUUCAGCCUCCUGAGUGUUGGGAUUACAGGCAUGUGCCAACAUGCCUGGGUUAAAUUAUAAUUUUUGCAACAUCAGUAUAUUCACACAGGGCAGGGAAUAGAGCUCAGUGGCAGAAUGCUUGCUUAGCAUACCUAUGGCCCUGGGUUUGAUUCCCAACACUGCAAACAAAAAAAGAUAUAGGUAAGGGUAUAUACAUACACAUACAUGUAUACAUAUAUAGGUAGAUACACAAAUAUUUAUAUUUUUUCACGUUUUUCAAAAGGUAGAAAAAAACUGGGCGCAGUGGCACAC